CUAGCGCGGUGGUCCCACCUGACCCCAUGCCGAACUCAGAAGUGAAACGCCGUAGCGCCGAUGGUAGUGUGGGGCCUCCCCAUGCGAGAGUAGGGAACUGCCAG
rnacentral:rRNA from 1 species